rnacentral:rRNA from 1 species
AUGCACGCUGGCGGCGUGCCUCAUCCCUGCAAGUCGCGCGAACGGACGAGAAGCUUGCUUCUCUGAUGUUAGCGGCGGACGGGUGAGUAACACGUGGAUAACCUACCUAUAAGACUGGGAUAACUUCGGGAAACCGGAGCUAAUACCGGAUAAUAUUUUGAACCGCAUGGUUCAAAAGUGAAAGACGGUCUUGCUGUCACUUAUAGAUGGAUCCGCGCUGCAUUAGCUAGUUGGUAAGGUAACGGCUUACCAAGGCAACGAUGCAUAGCCGACCUGAGAGGGUGAUCGGCCACACUGGAACUGAGACACGGUCCAGACUCCUACGGGAGGCAGCAGUAGGGAAUCUUCCGCAAUGGGCGAAAGCCUGACGGAGCAACGCCGCGUGAGUGAUGAAGGUCUUCGGAUCGUAAAACUCUGUUAUUAGGGAAGAACAUAUGUGUAAGUAACUGUGCACAUCUUGACGGUACCUAAUCAGAAAGCCACGGCUAACUACGUG